AGACCGGGGACCGGAGCGAGCAGA
rnacentral:miRNA from 1 species